UCGUCUGACUUGGGUAUAGGGGC
rnacentral:ncRNA from 2 species